CAGAAUUUGUGGGGGCUGAUUUGUAAACCCCUACUACUAAGACCACUUUUUUUAGUUCCGUUCUGUUAGGUUGCGUCAAUCAAAUCUGGUAUCAGAACAGAAUUUAACACUAAGUCACUGAAUAUAUUCUCUGCUUUUUUAUUCAAUUGAAUUAGUCAAGCGAAUAAAUGGUAAAUGCAAUCUUAGUAUAUACGGAUUCACUGUAACACCUCGCAGGGCAAACAGAGAACUAACUGUUCACACACAAAGUUAUUUAAUACACCUUAUUCCCUUUAUAGUGGUCCCGUGUGGCUCAGUUGGUAGAGCAUGGUGUUCGCAAUGCCAGGGUUGUGGGUUCGAUUCCCACGUGGGACCAGUACGAAAAGAAAAAAAAAAGGUAUGAAAAGAAAAAAAUAAUGUAUGAAAUGUAUGCAUUCACUACUGUAAGUCGCUCUGGAUAAGAGCGUCUGCUAAAUGACUAAAAUGUAAUAGUGCUCUACUUUUGACCAGGGUCCGUAGGCUCUGGUCAAAGCAGUGCACUUUAUAGGGAAGAGGGUGCCAUGACAGUGACACUAACAAAAUCUGUAUCGAAACAAAGAUAGCUGGGAAGAAGUUGUUACAUUCAAAGCUUUGGCAAUUAAGGGAAAUAAAAUUACAAGACAUUACAAGACAUUGCAGACCCUCAGGAGAGAUAAUUGUUGUCUUAAAAGUAUGUUAUUUAUUUAUUUAUUACAAGAAACAAAACACUGAUUUAACCCAUUUUAGCUUCUUAUUUACCUAUAUGAGUAAAUAGACAAUUGAUUCAUACAUUCCUGAUCUUUCCCACAUUGUAACAUUUUGGAUGGAGAUGAAGAAACAUCUCGGUAAAAGCUCAAUGAGAAUAUCAUGACCUAAAGGAUGAGCAUGGAAUUAGAAACAGCAUCCAAAUGGGAUAAGUCUGCACAGACCAAUAUAUUAACAACUGUCAAUGAAAUUGUCUUCACAUCAUUCAAGCUAUGAAGGGGAAG